rnacentral:rRNA from 1 species
UAGUGAGUUUGAUCCUGGCUCAGAUUGAACGCUGGCGGCAUGCUUUACACAUUCAAGUCGAACGGCAGCGCGGGGCAACCUGGCGGCGAGUGGCGAACGGGUGAGUAAUAUAUCGGAACGUACCCAGAAGUGGGGAUAACGUAGCGAAAGUUACGCUAAUACCGCAUACGAUCUACGGAUGAAAGUGGGGGACCUUCGGGCCUCAUGCUUGUGGAGCGGCCGAUAUCUGAUUAGCUAGUUGGUGAGGUAAAGGCUCACCAAGGCAACGACGCGUAACCGGCCUGAGAGGGUGUCGGUCACAGGGGCACUGAGACACGGGGUCCCACGUCCUACGGGAGGCAGCAGUUAGGAACUC